rnacentral:rRNA from 1 species
AGAGUUUGAUCCUGGCUCAGAACGAACGCUGGCGGCAUGCCUAACACAUGCAAGUCGAACGAGACCUUCGGGUCUAGUGGCGCACGGGUGCGUAACGCGUGGGAAUCUGCCCUUGGGUUCGGAAUAACUUCGGGAAACUGAAGCUAAUACCGGAUGAUGACGUAAGUCCAAAGAUUUAUCGCCCAAGGAUGAGCCCGCGUAGGAUUAGCUAGUUGGUGAGGUAAAGGCUCACCAAGGCUACGAUCCUUAGCUGGUCUGAGAGGAUGAUCAGCCACACUGGGACUGAGACACGGCCCAGACUCCUACGGGAGGCAGCAGUGGGGAAUAUUGGACAAUGGGCGAAAGCCUGAUCCAGCAAUGCCGCGUGAGUGAUGAAGGCCUUCGGGUUGUAAAGCUCUUUCGGGUACGACGAUGAUGACGGUAGUACCAGAAGAAGCCCCGGCUAACUUCGUGCCAGCAGCCGCGGUAAUACGAAGGGGGCGAGCGUUGUUCGGAAUUACUGGGCGUAAAGGGCGCGUAGGCGGCGCACCAAGUCAGGCGUGAAAGCCCUGGGCUCAACCCAGGAACUGCGUUUGAGACUGCCGUGCUGCAGUGUGGGAGAGGUCGGCGGAAUAUCUAGUGUAGAGGUGACAUUCGUAGAGAUUAGGAAGAACAGUGGUGGCCGAAGGCGGCCGAUUGGACCAUAACUGAACCUGAGGCCCAAAAGCGUGGGGAGCCAACGGG